GAUUUCCAUGAGAAUGGCAAAAGGAGCAUCUGUGAUACCAAAGAUCACUCAUACCCCUGCUGCAUUUCAAGUCCUUGCUCCAAAGCAUGGUGGUGCUGGAUCUUAUUAAAGGAAGGUCAUCAGAAAUUUUUAACAUGGGAAAAACAACAUAUUUUUUUUCUAGCCUCAGAAAUAGUUGAACUGUUUUGGCAGAAAUUUUCCAGGAAAAUUCAGCCUGAUGCAGCUACCCUGAGAGGAAAGUUUCAGGCUGAGUGGUUAAAGUCUGGCAAAGUUAUAAGAAACUGAAACCAAAAUCUUAUAAUGGGCAAUGCCAUGAAACUUGAUAGGAAGCCCUACCAGCCCCACCCAUAAUUUGGAGAGUCGGAACAAUGAACUGGAUUUGAUCUCCGUCUGGAGUUUGAAAUUGAAGAUCAUUCCAUAAGUCUUUGGAAAGUUAGUUUUCCACAGAUUUUUAGGUCUUGGAUUUGAUGAUUUCAGAGUCACAUAACUAGGUGCUUGGUUCCCUAUUAAGGCAAUAAGCAGUCAAGAACAUAUUUUUUUAAAUUUUCUGAAAUAUUGCUAAUUUACAGCUGAAAAUGUAAGUUAAUACAAAUUGUUCUUAUCUGCAUUAUAUAUACUAAUUUCUUGAAUAAGGCUUCUUUUCUGCUUUAAGAACUAUAAAUCAAAUGAAGACUACUGAAUUGAUUUCUUAGACUCAUGAACUCUCUACCAUCCCUGAGACACUUUUCAGUCAUCCAGUUAGGGAGCAGACGCAAGACCAUUUGGUUUAUGGGACCAGCCAUACAACGUAACUCUCCAAUGAGCUGUCAAUGGAAUGAUGUCACAGACAACUGGUCCUCAUCUUCCCCUUGGGCAGGAGAAGAUUGAUACACAGAAGUUUCCUUUGUGUCUGGAUCACCAGGACAUAACCUGGCUGAGGAAUUCUAAAUUUCCCAAUAAAAUAAAAUGCCCCUAAAUGCUCAACAAUACCAAUUAUUUUGUUGCAGAGAACUUGCUAAUUUACUGUUCCUUUUCUAACUUA